AAUACAGUCUGCACCACUCGAGCAUAGUGAUGACAGGGACUUCACCUGACUGCCUCAACUUCUCAAAUACCACUGAGAGUGGCUCGGUGACUGCAGCAGUGAAUUCCCUCAGGGCUCUGGGACUCGUCUCAUCAGGACCUAAAGACUCCUGGAUGCUCGGGUCCUCAGGUGACAGCGGAGUUGCAGCACUCCCGAGUGCCGUAACGACUGCAUGGAGAUGCGUGGCUCUUCAUGGGAACAGCAAGGAACCGGAAUCUGCAUUUCCUGGAACGCCCCGGAACCUCGCUUUGCUGGCCGGUAAUUGUCUGCUCAGCAGGUAAGGGUA